UGGGGAGUCGCCAAGUUGGCCAAGGCUCCGGAUUUUGAUUCCGGCAUUCGAGGGUUCGAGUCCUUCCUCCCCAGCCA
rnacentral:tRNA from 1 species